rnacentral:lncRNA from 1 species
UUUUGCUUUUUCUAGGGCCACUUCCUGCCGCACAUGGAGGUUUCCAGACUAGGGGUCUAAUUGGAGCUGUAGCCUCCGGCCUACGCCACAGCCACAGCAACGUGGGAUCUGAGCCGCAUCUGUGACCUACACCACAGCUCAUGGCAACACUGGAUCCUUAACCUGCUGAGCAAGGCCAGGGAUCGAACCCACAACCUCAUGGUUCCUAGUCGGAUUCGUUAAGCACUGAAACACGUUGGAAACUCCGCUUUUGUCUUAUUGGAACAAUCAAAGGAUGUGAAACACAGGGAGCAGAAAAGAAAAUUGCCUAGCCCAGCCAGUUCCUGACCAGAAAACACUCUCCUUUGUCUGAUGGGGUUCUAAGAAAAUGUAACUUUGGGGCAUCACCAUUUUUGCAUUUGAUUCUGGAAAGCCUCUGGAAAGCUUUCCAGCUUUUAUUUGGAACUCACUCUUGCUAUCACUCACCCGACUUGACCAGGAAUUAAACACUGUGAUUCUCCUUUUCUUUCUCUAGAAAUUUAUAGCACCUUCCUAAAAUGAUCCUGGGCUGUCAGCUAUGUGCCUGAACACGUAGUUAGAGGCAAGUCCCCACUGCCUGAGGACUAGGACAGAGAUGGCUAAUCCUUGCCACCUCAGAGGUGGCAGGGGCACCCACAAGCCGUGCCCACCUGGCCUUCCCUCUCAAGCAGGUAGUUUAUUGCAGGGGAAUUUCAGAAAGCUCUCCUUCCGAGAUUGUUGGCAUUGCUUUGAAGUGCUUUAGUUUGCUUUAGGGCCAUGGAAGGAGAACUUUCCAAUACCUUUAUGUUAACAGAUUUUUCCAGUGGAUCACAAUUCACAGAAAAACCUGCUUACAGACCAAGCCUGGAGCGCGAUCAAUGGGACAAGGUGGAGAAAAGUUAUCUCUAUUUAAUUAGCUGUGGGCUUGUGACGAAUGGCAAGAGUGGCUGUGAAUGUGGCUCGGCUGCUUAAUUUCAGACUGUUUUAUGUUCGGGCAUCACUCUUUCCUCCAAAACUUUGUCCAGAUCGUUUUGUCGAGAGCACUCGGCUGGAAAGCCUUUUUUUUUUUUUGGAGAAAAAAGCCAGAUAGCGUAUUCUGUCAGGCAGGAAAGCAGCCACUUAGAGGCAGCCCUUUGAUUAUAUUCUUUGAAAGAAAGAGAGAAUUGGGUUUUAACUGCUGUCUUGACUCUCUCACCUGAGAGGUGGAAUUUAAAAGAACUUCCCGUGACUCUUGUUAUGACUUCAUAUUGGGACAGCGCUAAAUUAGAAAUAAAGUUGUUUGUUAAAAUUGGCUCUUUGUUAAAAAGAAAGGUAAUGCAAAAUAUUUUUUGGAGUUCUCUGGUGGCUCAGCGGGUUAAGGACCUGGUGGUGUGACUGAUGUGGCAUGGGUUCGAUCCCUGGCCUUGACUUUGGAGAGGCAGCAAUGGGGGAUGGCUUGAAGGGAAUCUUAAUUCUCUGCUCAGGAACUGAACCUGGGCAGCCUGGAUGAAAAUCAGGAGUCCUAGCCACUAGAGCAGCUACAGGCCAAAGCAGAAUUGCCCUGAUUCUUGCUCCCUGUUGAAAGCAAGUAUGUUUCAAGGAAGCCAAGACUGUAAAAGCAGGUGUAAAGUUUAUUGUUAGAAACACAGUACCACAUGUGGGAGAGCACAGAAAUACAGAGCCUUUGUCUAUAAUCUAAGGCAGAAGUAAAGCAGAACUACACACCCAAAGGAGAAGGAGGGUGUGGGUGUCCCCCCAAAAGAGAAGUGCACUAGAGAGGUGAUUUAAAGCACUUCCUUAGGACAGUUCUUCUGCGUCUUUGUCUCCCUUUGGCCAGUUAUCUUGGCUUCUCUUUCCCACCCGACCAGACCCAGGGCCCUCCCUGUUCUGUGUGAGCGUCUUUUGGCCGAGAUGGAUUCCUAAGCAGAGCGGCGGGAAGGCUGUCCUGACCUCCAAUGGCCUGGCACCCCCUCCCUUUCUGACCCAGAGGGGUCUCCCUGACCCUGGGGAUGGCGAGCACGUGCUCUCUUGGUCCUCUGCCCAAGCAGGGCUCAGCCCCUCUUGACUCUCUCAUCACCGCUGUUUAACGAGUUCACAGAAGACAGGUACCAGAUAUUUGCCUUGGGCCUGCUGUCAUUUCUGUCUUGAAGUAUAGACAGGUGGCUGGCUGUAAGUGUUUGUCCUGGAGCCCACCUGCCUCCUGCCUCAGGAAGUGUAAAUACGAGGCCAGUUUCUGUUGUCUAUCAUGGAGUCCCUCUGUCUCAGCCUGGGAACUUCCACAUGCCAAGGGUGUGACCAAAAAAAAAAGACCAGGAGUUCCCGCUGUGGCUCAGCGGUAAUGAACCCAACUAACAUCCAUGGAGAUGCAGGUUCAAUCCCUGGCCUGGCUCAGAGGGUUAAAGAUCUGGCAUUGCCAUGAGCUGUGGUGUAGGUCGAAGAUGAGGCUCGUAUCUGGCAUGGCUGUGGCUGUGGUAUAGGCUGACAGCUACAGCUCUGAUUCCACCCCUAGCCUGGCAACUUCUCUAUGCCCUGGGUGCAGCCCUCAAAUAAGUAAAUUAAUUAAUUAAUAACAAAACAAAAACGAGAUAAAAGAAAAACAUUGUAUUGGUUCAUUAUUUUUAUUGGCGUAUCCCCUCUGUGGCUUGUUAACACAGAGGGGCGUUUCCUGGCAUGUUCUUCUGAUUUGGCCUGAGGUGUUCUCAUGGUUCAGGUGACAGAGCAGUGGCCUUGCCUGGACCCACACCUUCACUGGCUUUAUUCAAGGAAAAAAGGGUUCAAGUGGAACCCCACCCCCUCCUUUCUCCAGUCUUUUGAAAGAGCUUUGCUGGCCAGUGGGGAGAAGCUUUGCAUACCUUUCUGAAUGUAUUUGUGUCCCGAGAAUACGUGUAUAAAACCCCAUAAAGAGAAAGGACAAUUGCAUUUUAAUCCGAGUAAAUCUUAUUCAUCCUUUACUAAAGUGUGCUGGGGAGCUUGGGCUGCAAAGUCACAUGACAUCAUCUCAGCCUCAAGAAGAUCCUAGCCCGUGGGAGAGACCCUGUAAUAACAUUUCUUUUCCCUUUUUUGUUUGGUGUGUCUAUCCAGUGCCUUUUCUGGAGAUUUACCACUGCCCCCAUGAACACAGCUAAGGCGCAUGGAGCAGCUCCUAGUUAAUCGGCUGCCUUCACCGCAGUUAAUUGUU